UGGUUGUGGGCGCGCAAGAGUCAAUAUGGCGGCCGUGUCCAGGCAAUUCAAGCCAGAAUUUAGCCCUACUUCCUGACUUUCUUUUGCUCUAAAUUACUCCAUCAGUGGCGCAGUGGGUCACAACCAGGAGGUGCAUGCUUCGGACUGCGAAAUAACUAACAUACCAUUUAAAUUGUAACAACCAACAGAAUAGCCUGUGGGCCUCCUGAUGCUGUUGGUGUCCAGCUCCUAUCAAUCUCCACAAGCACAGUCAGUCCUCAGAAAUGCAGGGUUAAAUGGCGGCACACAAAGCAUAUUCCAGAGCUGGCUGAAAACCAAGUCCUCUUUGGAUGACUUAAUGAGCUCAGUGCAUGGUGGUAGUUAUUAAACAGAAACAAGAACCUGUGUAUAAUUUA